UACGGAGGGUGCGAGCGUUGUCCGGAAUCACUGGCGUAAAGGCGCGUAGGUGGCGUCGCAAGUCAACGGUGAAAGCUCGACGCUCAACGUCGAGUCGGCCGUCGAGACUGCGAGGCUUGAGCACUGUAGAGGCAGAUGGAAUUCCGGGUGUAGCGGUGGAAUGCGUAGAGAUCCGGAAGAACACCGGUGGCGAAGGCGGUCUGCUGGGCAGUUGCUGACACUGAGGCGCGACAGCG
rnacentral:rRNA from 1 species